rnacentral:rRNA from 1 species
UACGUAGGGGGCAAGCGUUGUCCGGAUUUAUUGGGCGUAAAGCGCGCGCAGGCGGUUUAUUAAGUCUGAUGUGAAAGCCCACGGCUCAACCGUGGAGGGUCAUUGGAAACUGGGGGACUUGAGUGCAGGAGAGAAGAGUGGAAUUCCACGUGUAGCGGUGAAAUGCGUAGAGAUGUGGAGGAACACCAGUGGCGAAGGCGACUCUUUGGCCCGUAACUGACGCUGAGGCGCGAAAGCGUGGGGAGCAAACAGG